GAAAUGUUCAAGAAGUGGUUGAUUCGCACUCUUUCCAUAAUUAGGAUGGACGGUGAUGUCUAUAAGGGUGCAGCAAAAUAUUUUGCCAUCUCGUGGAUUGAGAACAAUAAUUUUACAGUUCUUCUUCCUCACCUGUGGGGAGAAAACAAACAAGGAUUUGUAUCCCUGAUGCCAUGCUCAUCACCUGGGAAAAUAACAUACGUCAGCUUGAGGUCCAUCUAUCCAUGCUACAGUUCCUCCAGGAAGAUAGAGUGGCUCUGGAUACAGCAAAGCAAUAGAGGGAAGGUACCUCUAGGAAGGAGGGAGACACAACAAGCAGGAGGCAAGCACUUGAAACAGUGUAACACAGAGAAGCAGGUCUACCAGGAUUAAGCAUGCUGUAUCGUAGGACCCAGCUUUCCUCCAGGAAGAAGUCGAACACUUACAAUUCAACCUCCUGUGAGUUAAAUAUAUUUUGGCAAAGCUUCUCAUUGGUAAUUAUAACCCCCAUGUCAACACAAUUUCAUUAUGCCAGCGUGGACAGAAAGCAGAAACCAAAGUAGAACUGAAACAAUUUUUUUUCAGAUUCACUGCCUUCAUGAACUUUAAGAAUAUUGUUAUUGCUUGCAAAAAAGAAAAGAAAAAGAAAAAGAAAAAAAUAAGAAUAGAAAUCUAUAUCACAGGAUUUUCUCCAAAUAUUCUCCAUAGAAUUGAUUGCUUACUUGAUUGACUGUAGCAACCGUAGUGACUCUCUGCCAUGUUCUGGAAUAAUGCUAGGUUUGAGGCAUUACUGAGAAUGCAAAAUGGUAGCUAGAGCUGCUACAGCAAGCUGAGGAAGAGGCGGAGGAGGCGGGGAGAAUUGAAGAAGAUGAUGAAAGGAAGACCUGGAUGGAUGCCCCAACCUGAGCCUCCCAAGGAAGUGCUGCAAGCCUCCAGCUUCAGCUGGCCACAGGACACUAUCAUUCAGAGGAAGUAAUGUCAGCCAUAGCUAGAUCCUGUGCCAAUGAACCCCAUUCCCACCUAGCUGUGACAAUAGAGGAGGCAGUUGAACCAUCUCUGGCUGAAUGGUGGGAACAGUCCAGUGCAUGGCUUCCUCCUUCCAGGGAAGAGGACAGGAGGGGGUGGAGACAAUUUUAAGCCUCCAAAGAAUUGUAUGGUGAAGGAAAUAGUAAUAACUUACUAUUUUUGGACUUAAGGACUGCCCAGAAUUGGCCUGGCUUGGAUAGGCUAAAAGAAGACUUAAAUAGUUAAAAUUGU